UCCAGACUCCUACGGGAGGCAGCAGUGGGGAAUAUUGCACAAUGGGGGAAACCCUGAUGCAGCGACGCCGCGUGAGCGAUGAAGUAUUUCGGUAUGUAAAGCUCUAUCAGCAGGGAAGAAGAUGACGGUACCUGACUAAGAAGCCCCGGCUAACUACGUGCCAGCAGCCGCGGUAAUACGUAGGGGGCAAGCGUUAUCCGGAUUUACUGGGUGUAAAGGGAGCGUAGACGGCGAUGCAAGCCAGAUGUGAAAGCCCAAGGCUUAACCAUGGGACUGCUCUGGAAACUGUGGAGCUUGAGUGCGGGAGGGGCAGGCGGAAUUCCUAGUGUAGCGGUGAAAUGCGUAGAUAUCAGGAGGAACACCGGCGGCGAAGGCGGCCUGCUGGACCGCGACUGACGUUGAGGCUCGAAAGCGUGGGGAGCAAACAGGAUUAGAUACCCCGGUAAU
rnacentral:rRNA from 1 species